UAUCGGAACGUACCGAGUAGUGGGGGAUAACUGAUCGAAAGAUCAGCUAAUACCGCAUACGUCUUGAGAGAGAAAGCAGGGGACUUUCGGGCCUUGCGCUAUUCGAGCGGCCGAUAUCUGAUUAGCUAGUUGGUGGGGUAAAGGCCUACCAAGGCGACGAUCAGUAGCGGGUCUGAGAGGAUGAUCCGCCACACUGGGACUGAGACACGGCC
rnacentral:rRNA from 1 species